UGAUACUGUUAAGCUAGAGUAGGUGAGAGGGAAGUAGAAUUCCAGGUGUAGCGGUGAAAUGCGUAGAGAUCUGGAGGAAUACCGAUGGCGAAGGCAGCUUCCUGGCAUCAUACUGACACUGAGGCUCGAAAGCGUGGGUAGCAAACAGGAUUAGAUACCCUGGUAGUCCACGCCGUAAACGAUGUCUACUAGUCGUUGGGUCCCUUGAGGACUUAGUGACGCAGCUAACGCAAUAAGUAGACCGCCUGGGGAGUACGGCCGCAAGGUUAAAACUCAAAUGAAUUGACGGGGGCCCGCACAAGCGGUGGAGCAUGUGGUUUAAUUCGAUGCAACGCGAAGAACCUUACCUGGUCUUGACAUACACAGAAUCUUGUAGAGAUACGAGAGUGCCUUCGGGAAUUGUGAUACAGGUGCUGCAUGGCUGUCGUCAGCUCGUGUCGUGAGAUGUUGGGUUAAGUCCCGCAACGAGCGCAACCCUUGUCCUUAGUUACCAGCGGGUUAAGCCGGGAACUCUAAGGAUACUGCCAGUGACAAACUGGAGGAAGGCGGGGACGACGUCAAGUCAUCAUGGCCCUUACGACCAGGGCUACACACGUGCUACAAUGGUAGGUACAGAGGGCAGCUACACAGCGAUGUGAUGCGAAUCUCAAAAAGCCUAUCGUAGUCCAGAUUGGAGUCUGCAACUCGACUCCAUGAAGUAGGAAUCGCUAGUAAUCGCGGAUCAGAAUGCCGCGGUGAAUACGUUCCCGGGCCUUGUACACACCGCCCGUCACACCAUGGGAGUUGAUUGCACCAGAAGUGGUUAGCCGAACCUUUUAGGAC
rnacentral:rRNA from 1 species